ACUCAAAGGAAUAGACGGGGGCCCGCACAAGCGGUGGAGCAUGUGGUUUAAUUCGACGCAACGCGCAGAACCUUACCAGGGUUUGACAUCCUGUGCUCGCCUCAGAGAUGGGGUUUUCCCGCAAGGGACGCAGAGACAGGUGCUGCAUGGCUGUCGUCAGCUCGUGUCGUGAGAUGUUGGGUUAAGUCCCGCAACGAGCGCAACCCUCGCCUUUAGUUGCCAUCAUUCAGUUGGGCACUCUAGAGGGACCGCCGGCGACAAGCCGGAGGAAGGUGGGGAUGACGUCAAGUCCUCAUGGCCCUUACACCCUGGGCUACACACGUGCUACAAUGACGGUGACAGUGGGCAGCCACCUCGCGAGAGGCAGCGAAUCCCAAAAAACCGUCCCAGUUCAGAUUGCACUCUGCAACUCGGGUGCAUGAAGGCGGAAUCGCUAGUAAUCGCAGAACAGCAGGCUGCGGUGAAUACGUUCCCGGGCCUUGCACACACCGCCCGU
rnacentral:rRNA from 1 species